rnacentral:rRNA from 1 species
GAACUUACCUCUGCCAGUGACCAGUCCCGCCUGCCCUGUGACUACAUGUUUAACGGCCGCGGUAUUUUGACCGUGCGAAGGUAGCGCAAUCACUUGUCUUUUAAAUGGAGACCUGUAUGAAUGGCAUCACGAGGGCUUAACUGUCUCCUCUCCCCAGUCAAUGAAAUUGAUCUCCCCGUGCAGAAGCGGGGAUAUUCCCAUAAGACGAGAAGACCCUAUGGAGCUUUAGACACUAAGAUAGCUCAUGUUAAAGCCCUUGAACAACAGACUAAACUAAAUGACCCCUCUCCUAAUGUCUUCGGUUGGGGCGACCUUGGGGAAAAAAGUAACCCCCAUGUGGACCAGAAGAAUUCUUCUUCCAAAACCAAGAACACCCAUUCUAAGUAUCAGAAAAUUUGACCUUAUGAUCCGGCAAAGCCGAUUAACGGACCAAGUUACCCUAGGGAUAACAGCGCAAUCCUCUUUCAGAGGCCCUAUCGACAAGAGGGUUUACGACCUCGAUGUUGGAUCAGGACAUCCUAAUGGUGCAGCCGCUAUUAAGGGUUCGUUUGUUCAACGAUUAAAGUCCUACGUGAUCUGAGUU